UCAGGUGGUUAUAACACCGGGGCUCCACCUCUUCCCAUUCCGAACAGAGAAGUUAAGCCCGGUCGUGCCGAUGGUACUGCGUAAAAGUGGGAGAGUAGGUUACCGCCGUUUU
rnacentral:rRNA from 1 species